UACGUAGGGUGCGAGCGUUAAUCGGAAUUACUGGGCGUAAAGCGUGCGUAGGCGGAUUGUUAAGCAAGAUGUGAAAUCCCCGGGCUUAACCUGGGAAUGGCAUUUUGUACUGGCAAUCUAGAGUGUGUCAGAGGGGGGUAGAAUUCCACGUGUAGCAGUGAAAUGCGUAGAGAUGUGGAGGAAUACCGGUGGCGAAGGCGGCUACCUGGGAUAGCACUGACGCUGAUGUACGAAAGCGUGGGGAGCAAACAGG
rnacentral:rRNA from 1 species